GGCUGAAAAGCGUAGUCGAUGGACAACAGGUUAAUAUUCCUGUACUUUCUUUAAUUGUGAUGGAGUGACGGAGAAGGAUAAGCAUACCUAUUAUUGGAUUUAGGGGUAAGUAGUUACUGGUGAUUGUAGGCAAAUCCGCAAUCUAUAACUGGGAGCUAUGAUGCAUAGGACUUUUGUCUGAAUUUGCCAAUUCCAUGCUUCCUAGAAAAGUUUCUAAACUUAAUUUUAUUGAAACCUGUACCAAGAACGGACACACGUCCCCAAGAUGAGUAUUCUAAGGCGAGCGAGAAAACUAGUGUUAAGGAACUCUGCAAAAUGACCCCGUAAGUUCGCAAGAAGGGGCGCCUAUGGUAACACAUAGGCCACAGUAAAUUAUGAGGGGCAACUGUUUAUCAAAAACACAACUCUCUGCUAAACCGCAAGGUGAUGUAUAGGGGGUGAAGCCUGCCCAGUGCCCGAAGGUUAAGUGGAUGCGUUAGCUUAUGCGAAGCGUUGAAAUGAAGCCCGGGUGAACGGCGGCCGUAACUAUAACGGUCCUAAGGUAGCGAAAUUCCUUGUCGGCUAAAUACUGACCUGCACGAAAGGCAUAAUGAUCUCUCAACUGUCUCAACACUAGACUCGGUGAAAUUAUGGUCCCAGUGAAAACGCUGGGUUCCCGCAUCAAGACGAAGAGACCCCAUGGAGCUUUACUAUAACUUCGUAUUGGAAUUUGGCCUAACAUGUGUAGGAUAGGUGGGAGACUUUGAAGCUGAGACGCCAGUAGCAGUGGAGUCAACCUUGAAAUACCACCCUUGUUAUGUUGAAUUUCUAACUUACCAUCAUAAUCAGGUGGGAGGACAGUGCGUGGUGGGUAGUUUGACUGGGGCGGUCGCCUCCUAAAGAGUAACGGAGGCGUUCAAAGGUACACUCAGUACGGUCAGAAACCGUAUGUAGAGCGCAAAGGCAGAAGUGUGCUUGACUGUGAGACAUACAAGUCGAGCAGGUGCGAAAGCAGGACUUAGUGAUCCGGCUGUACAUUGUGGAAUGGCAGUCGCUCAACGGAUAAAAGUUACCCUGGGGAUAACAGGCUAAUCUUGCCCAAGAGAUCACAUCGACGGCAAGGUUUGGCACCUCGAUGUCGGCUCAUCGCAUCCUGGAGCUGGAGUCGGUUCCAAGGGUUGGGCUGUUCGCCCAUUAAAGCGGUACGCGAGCUGGGUUCAAAACGUCGUGAGACAGUUUGGUCCCUAUCUGAUGUGGGCGUUGGAAUAUUGAUGAGAGCCGCUCUUAGUACGAGAGGACCGGAGUGGACGUACCGCUGGUGUUCCAGUUGUUCCGCCAGGAGCAUGGCUGGGUAGCUAAGUACGGAAAGGAUAACCGCUGAAAGCAUCUAAGUGGGAAGCCUCCUCAGAGAUUAGUAUUCCCUUGAAAUUCCUUAUAGACUAUGAGGUUGAUAGGCUGGAUGUGUAAGCACAGUAAUGUGUUGAGCUGACCAGUACUAAUAAAUUGAAAGGUUUAAAAG
rnacentral:rRNA from 1 species